rnacentral:lncRNA from 1 species
GGCGAGAGCUUAGCAUCAAAUAGGUUUAGACCUCACAAAGGCAUUCGUGACAACAAACAGGAAGUAAAAUGUACAGAUAUGUAACAAUAUGUACAGAUAUGUAACAUGUACAGAUAUGUAACAAUAUGAGACAUUACUACAGUAUGUCUGUAUUUACAAGGUCGACUGCAUUAUGCAGUAUAGAAAAUUGGUCUACUUGUAAAUGUUACGUCACAACUAGACGUGGCAGUCUGCAAGCCAGGAAGAGGGCCCCUACCAAGAAUUCAGCCAUACUGGUACCCUGAUGGUGUGCUGCCCAGCCUCCAUAACUGUGAGAAUAAUUGUCUGUUGCGUAAGCCACCCAGUCUGUGGUAUUUUGUCAUAGCAACCAAGUAGACUAAUAUAAGAAAAAAACCUAUAAGCCUGCUCUGUCCAAUAUGGUAGUCAUCAGCUGCCAAUUGUGAUUAUUGAGUGCUUGACAUAUGGCUGAUCUAAAUUGAGAUGGGCUGUAGGUGUAAAGUACAGAGCAGAUCUCAAAGACUUAGAUGAAAAAAGAAUGUAAAAUAUCUCAUUAAUUUUCUACAUUGAUUACAUGUUGAAAUAGUCAUAGUUUGUACAUAUUGAAUAAAUUAAAAUAUUUUUAUUAAAAUCCGUUUCUUUAGUUUUUUUGUUGUUGUAUA